rnacentral:tRNA from 1 species
UGAGUUAGAUAGGAAUUGAACCUAUAUAGAUUGAUUAAAAGACAAUAGUCUUCACCAUUAGACGACUAACUC